UACGUAGGUGGCAAGCGUUGUCCGGAUUUACUGGGCGUAAAGAGCGCGCAGGCGGUCGUUCAAGUCGCGUGUGAAAGCCCCCGGCUCAACUGGGGAGGGUCACGCGAUACUGAUCGACUCGAAGGCAGGAGAGGGUAGUGGAAUUCCCGGUGUAGUGGUGAAAUGCGUAGAUAUCGAGAGGAACACCAGUGGCGAAGGCGAGUCCCUGGACAACACCUGACACUGAGGCACGAAAGCUAGGGGAUCAAACGGG
rnacentral:rRNA from 1 species